CACAGCAAACAGUCCUCAAAAGAGGGACAUUUUACAAAAUACCUAACCAGUAUUUCUCAAAACUAUCAAGGUCAUCAAUAAUAAGAAGGCAAGUAUGAGAAAGUGUCACAAGAGAAGCCUUAGGAGACAUGAUGACUAAAUGUAAUGUGGUACUCUAGGAUGUAUGCUGGGACAGAAAAAAAGACAUUAGUUACAGCCUUAUACACAUAAAUGGGAAAGGAAAAACACAUUUUUCUUCUGAAAAUUUCAAUCCAUUGAUGGGAGAGCUGGUGGAGGUACAAAAGCAGCAAGACGAAGCUCUGCGGACAGCUUCUGAGAAGAAGAUGUGAAGAUGUCUCUGGAACAGACUUCCAACUAAAGAACAAACGUCACAGACGCAGAGUAACUGCUUUGGUAACACUGCCUACUAAACCCUUCAGAGUGUACCUUUGAAUUUGUGAGUGGGACUGGAAGUAGGGAGAGAGAAGAAACAAAAGAAAUUAUUUGUCUUAAUCGGAGAGUGCAACCUCAAUUAAACUGCUCUUCAUCUCUGCAGACUCAGCAAUGUCCAUACAAUUACAAGACUCUAGCAAAUUUUUAACCAUCAGUCUAGUUGCCAAUGAUGCUUUGAGGAAUUGUAAGUAUAAAAAGCCUGAAAGCUUUAAUUAAGUAAGUAAGAUAUUUACAUUACAUAAGAGAUGUUCUUUCUCACUAAUGCCUGGCUCUUUACCUCAUGGCUCUAACUAAA